rnacentral:lncRNA from 1 species
UGGGGAGAAGGGCGACAAGACUGGUGGGUGGAAUUUGCCCAGUCCUUUCCCCCCGCCUAUUUAACAGGGCAGGCGCUGGAAUCGAGGCACCACGAGCGGGAACCACCAAAAGAUUAAGAUUCGACAUGAUGGUGCUCCGAAAAUUUUGGGAUAACGAUACCGAAGGAUCCAUUGGGAUUGCGUCAUUAUGUUUUCCGGAAUUCAAGGAAUAAGAAGGUACCAACGAGAAAUGGUCUGGCGACUUAAGUUUUUCCGCGACAGAUGGCGGUUUAAGUUCAUGGCGUAUAAAAGAGGAUGAAAAAUGAAUCGCCCUUAAUUGAGUAAGAAUAUUGGCGUGAAGAAAAGUCAAGUCAAUCUGGGGCCUAAUGUUGGGGAUAUUAUCUAUUCAUAACCCGUCCUAGUUGGGCCGGGUCACCAAAUUUGGCGAUUCAUCUAAGCAUGGUUCGGGUCUUGGCCUGGCAAGACCGAAGGUUGUAUGGCGGUUUACAACCGUCGGAAGGUUUCCAAGCUUUGGAAAGAUGUAGACUUAGAGAUCGUAAGAGUCACGGUUUGUAGAAAGAAAAGUACCCUUGUAAACCCUAGGGACUCGACCUGUAUAUAAAGGCGAGUCCCAGGAAAGAAGAGGGCAGGUUAGAAAUCAUCGAGUGCUAGGUCUGGCGAGUUACGCCCUCCUUAUAAUCGAAACUUCAUCAAUACAACUCAAAGCAGGACGUAGGCCUUUACCUCCCCAUGAGGGGCCGAACCUGGGUAAAUCACCGUCUCACUCCUGUUCAACCCCUUUGAGUCGCCACCAAAGUGUGAUGGCUACAAUACUAAGUCCUUUCAUGAGGACAUCUGCCGUGACAAAACCACGACAGCAUCAAAGUAGACAUCACAUAGGAUAAUCCCACGAAGGAAUCACAUGCAAUAGAUCUAUGGAUUAAUUGCAAUCAUCCACCCAAGAUUAAAUAAAAUGAUAGUUUAGACGUAUUCAUGAAGCACUUCCAAAAGAGAUUUGAGCAUGUAGAUGCAACCUAUUAUGCAUGCAAAGGACACAAUCAUGU